rnacentral:lncRNA from 1 species
AGUCCACCUGCGCGGCUGAGUGGAGGAUGCUAGGUUGCUGUGCUGUUUCUCCUACUGUCUUGCUGCCGCACCACCCCUCAGAAAAACCGGGUCGUCAGUUUCCUGCGGUUUGCACUCACCAAAUAUACUUAGCAAUUUGCAAUUCACCCGCAGGAUUAUUCCAGCCUCUGUGAUCACACACAGAAGGAUGAGCCUUCCUCGUGAGGGUUGGAGAUGGAGGGAGAAGGGAUGGAGAGUAAGGAUGGGACGGAGGUUGUGGAGCAGCAGACCAACACGCCAGAAAGGAAAAUAAUGAUCAUCUCAAUUUUUAUAUGUGGAGGCAUUGCUUUUCUUCUUUGGGGGAUUUUAAGAUUUCCCAGAAAAUGUAAGUAAACAAUUUCUGCUAAAAUUAUUAAAUUAAAUUGUUAAAAUUAUUGUAUUAUUGAUUCAGUUGGAUACCAAUAACUAGUCUUUCCUUCCUUAAUAUAGAACAAUUUAGAGAUAAAAGCAUUUUCCAAGACAGUGCAUCUAAUUGCUCUUCAAACUUAGUCACCUGCUUCACCUUCUAGAAUAAUCAGUCUUUCAAUAAAUAUGUAUCAAGCUUUAGGCACAGUGCUGCCUGCUGAUGAUAUAACAAUGAAAAAAAAUGGUAUUUCUUGCCUGAAAGUAGUUUAUCUUUAACUGAAUAUGGAAGCAUGUAAGCAAACAACUGUAACACAAAAGAAAUAAUUACUAAAUAGAACUAUGUUGAAUUUGAAGCAGGAGAGGAGAUUAUAAGUUAGCUGCUUGUAGUCAAGGCUUUAAUGAAGGGAGAAAUAUUUGUGCUGAAUCUUAAACUCAAGUAGGCGUUUAUCAAAGAUCAUCUUAGAACACACAUGUCAGAGAAUCACACCAGGUAUAAUUAUGAUGGAGUUACAAAGAAGUAGGGUGAGGGACUGGCAAUUGUAUUAUAGUUCCCUAGUGCAUUAACUCUUUCACUGCCAUUCAUUAGCAAUUUAUACCUUGUCCUUCAUCUCCAUUCUCCUCAUGCUCAUUCUCAUGUCUAUACCCUUGCUUCCAACUUGUUCUAAUUUUAACAAUUUGUAGGAAACUUCCAAAUGCUCCCAUCACCACACCAGCUUACUUACUCCAUCUCUGCCCCUACACUCUGCCUAGACUCCUGGAACUGUAGAUGCAGUAUUCAUGUUCUACAAUAGAUCCUAUAUUCUUUCACUGGAUCAGUAAUAUCACCCUAGUAAUUCUCCACUCUCCUACAUUAUCCUUUUUUCAUCCUCAACUGAAACAUCUCCAUCAGCAAAUAUGACAUACUGGUAUCUAUAUCAACCUUGAAAAAAUAAACAACAAAAACAACAGAAUUUAUUAGACCCCACUUAUCUUUUAGCAACCAAUUUAUUGUUUUUCUCCUUGGUACAGCAACCUCUUUAAAACGGCUUUUCAAAAUAAUUUUUUAUCUUUCCUUUUUCUGUUAAAUCCACUUGGAUCAAGCUUCCACUCUGCUUUUUCCACCAAACUUGUCUUUCAAGUUCACCAAUAACUUCCAUAUUGCUAAAUCGACUGGUCCAUUCUCCCUCCUCACCUUAUUAUAUAACCUAUUUGCAGCUUUUGGCACUCCCUUUUUCUAAAAAAAAAAAAAAAUUUCAUUUGACUUACAUGACGCCAUAUUCUUGUGGUUUGCUUUCUACUCAUUUUACCAACAACCGUGAUUCCCUGAUUCUCCUUCACUCUGAUCUAUUUUACGACAAACUAUAUAAUUUCAGACGCAUAAGUCCCAUAAGAGUAGGUAUUUCUGUAUGUUAUGUAGGCUAUUCAUAGAGUUACAAAAAUGUCUGGCGUGUAGCAGGUGCUCAAUCGGUAGUUGUUGACUGCGUAAAUGAAAGAAUGAAUUAAUUAGUAAAUGAAUGAGAAAACUGCCUUUCUGGUGACCCAAGUUUUGAAUUAAGUAUUUGGUUUUUAUAUUGGUUAUUGAUUUGAAUUUGACAUUUUAAAAUAAUUUUGAACAUGACACAUUCAAAUAACUUUGAUAACUUGAUUUUUUCACUUCACUCUCAGGUCUCAACUAUAUAGAACCAUAUUGCCAGUUGAUCCUUCCCAUUGAGGAUUUUCCCACUCACAGAUUUGAAGAUGAACCAGUCAUUUAUUUUAGUUGUGGAUAGGAGGUGCUCUCAGAGCUUGUUUCUUUCAGGAUUAUACCUUAACAAGGAACUUCCUUUAUCUAGUGCAGUAACUUAAGGAGUAAAAGUGGAGAGUAAAAAGGGAAAUUUUAGCAUUCUUUUUUCUGUGUUUCUUGUUUCAUAACGGACAAGGAAACAGCGCCACCUUCUAGAGAAAUGCUGUCUUUGAAAGACAAUAUAGUCUCAGUUAAGUUGAUGAUAGGAACCAGCUCACUGAAGUUAUGAAUAUAGAAAAAUUUGUUUAUUUACACUGCAACUUGUUCUAGAGAGCAUAGUAAAUUUUAGGAAAGAAAUAGAUGAAUAAAGAAAAUUCAUGUAGUCUAAAAAUUAGGAGGGAAAAUGGCUGGAAGAUACUGAAUUUCUGGAAGUUUGUUAUUGAGUUUUUAAAUUUUUCAUAGCUCUCAUUCUCCAGUGCUUAUUCCUUUCAUGUUCUCUUCUCGAUAUUCAAUUUUUUUGAAUUGAUGUUUAAAGUUAAGUCAUUCAAAUUGAAUAUGUAAGUAAAACACAUUUUAUUAGUCUGAGCUAUAUAAUAAUAUUUUACUCUGAAGCUCACUCUUUCUUUCUUUGAUACUUUCUUUAUUCUUUUUCUCUAUUACCUGUUAAUUUCAGUUGGAAUUCCAAGGCACCUUAGAAACAAGACAUGCCUAGAAAAUUUGACUAUGUGUCCACAAGGCUGGAACUGAAUCAAUAAUAAUUGCUUCUUUCAAUCUGAACAUGAAACAACGUGGAUCAAUGGCUGAGAAAACUGCAGAAGUUAUGGAUCUCUGGCCAGGCUCAACUCUCAGAAUGAAAUGGGAAUCUUUGAUGCAUUAUCUGGGGCCGUCUUUAUAUUGGUUUGAACUGAGCAAGCACAAUGCAAACAAAACGUGGAUGUGGGCAGAUGGAGCUACAUUCAGCAAUUGGUAAGCCUUACUAACAUGUAUUUACUAUUAAAUGUGUAAAGCGUGGUAAAGAUUCUGAGUCUAUAACUGGCUUCCUCCAUAGAUUCCUCCACAUCAUCCCCCCAAAAGACCCUCAAAAAAUAGAUGCCAAAGAGAAUAUUUAGACAAAGUUACGGUUUUUAGUGAGGGUUUGGCAUCACAUAUCAAUAUUUAUGUAUAUAUAUGGAAUUGGUAUAUACCACAUGUGAGUCACAAGUGUUCCCUUUAUCCUGAACUGGAUGCAAGUCUAAGCAGUUUGAUCCUUUCCUCUUUGGACCUGGGACCUUGCCUUUUGUUUUUGUUUUUUUUGUUGUUGUUCCUUUGGCCUUUCAUUGAUGGGAGAGCAUUAGAGAGUGUACUGAAGCCUACACUUUCCGCACCCACCAGUGGCCUGACAUGCACAAGAGUAAGUUAAGAAGAGAACGUGUUUGCCUCAGUUUACCUUUGUUUAAAAUUCAAGAACUUCUUUAUAUUCCAUAGCUUGAAAAAACUCAUCAUACACUUAGAAUCUAUUUUGUUCUUAAAACACUUACAAAUUUCUCCAACGUCAGGGUGGAGAAGGUCAUAUAAAGGAUAUUGAGUUCUCAGUAUUCUUUGGUGAACUAAAGGUGACCACUAGCUACCAUUUAUUGACUGCCCACUUUGUAAUAGAUACUGGUUCUGUAGCACUCCAUGCCAGAUAUUACAUGUUGUAUAUAAUAUAAUAAAGUUAGUAGCGGAACUUUCUAAAGUUGAGAAAAUUCUCUUAUGAUUAUUGUAUUUACAUUCAAUUUGGGGUGAAAAUGCACAAUGAUUUGAGAGGGAUAAUAUACCCAAUAUUAUAUUUUAUCUUUGAAAAAUGUAAAAAAAAAAGACAGAUUAAACUUUCUGACUAUAAAACAUAAUAUUAUAUUUUCUUGAAAGAAAAUAUUAACAGCUUAAUGUGGCAUUACAUAUUAUAUACAGGCCCAUCAAAAAAUGAGACAGGAGUUAACAUUGGUGUAUUAAUUUGCUAAGUCUGCUGUAAUAAAUGCCACUGAAUGGGUGGCUCAAAGACAGCUCUGGGGGCCGUUAAGUCCAGGAUCAAGGUGUUAGUAGGGUUGGUUUCUUUUAAGGCCCUUCUCUUUGGCUUGCAGAUGGCUGUCUUCUCACUCUGUGUUCAUGUGGCCUUCUGUACACACUCAAGUCUGUGUCUAACUUAUUUCUUCUUAUAGGGACAUCAGUCAUAUUGGAUUAAGGUGCACCCUAAAGACCUUUUCUUACCUCAAUCACUUCUUUUUUAAAAAAAACAAAUACCUUAUCUCCAAAUCUGUUACAUUCUCAGGUACUGGGAGUUAGGCACUUAAUGUAUGAAAUUUGGGGGCCUAUAAUUCAGCCCAUAACGGUUGUUAUUAGUUGGCACUAUGGAUUGGAUAAGCAUAAAAAUACACAUAUAUUUUGGGAAUGGGCAGGAUAAAAAUUUGAAGUUACCCUAGAAGUUAGGAAAGUGUACACCAGUACUGUGAAGUUCCCCCAAAUAAUUACAGUAUAACCAGAAAUGUAUCAUGAUUAACCAUCCUGUUUUCCUCCGUUUUGAAUUUUGAAUUUCACAUGUUUAUAUGUAUGGCAUAAAAUAUAAAUGUAGGAAAUCUUUUCUUUAGAUUUUAUUUGUUUACUUAUGUGUAUCGUAAUCUAUUGAGUAAAGAAUACCUGUUUCACUACAGUGAUGGUGAUAAAGAGUGGCCAAAUGUGAACAUUUAUUUCAGCAUUAAUAGACCAAUUUUGUAAUAUAUGAAAGGUAUGUUCAAUGAAAUGUCAGUUACACUCCCCUUCUUUAUAAUUUCUAAAUGGCUAAACACAUUGAUAUAUCAAUGUUUAUGCUACAGUAUAAAGGGAAGAAUCCAAUCCCUCACAAAAUGAUUACAAUGUUUGCUAUAGUAUCAACAGCGUAAACUUCCAGGACUGUGUUGUUAGGCACUGAAGUCACAUAGUGUCCUUUUCUUCCUGCCAUCAGGGUCCUGAGGUAAAAUUUGGAGAAAGAUAGGAGGAGAGCAACAGCUUGUUUCACUUCCUCUACUCCUUCCACACUGCACGUGUUUUAGAAACCGGGCUAAUGAAAUUUACGUUCUAUUUUCGAGGCUGUGCUCAGUUAUUUCUCAGGAGGUCCAGUAAAUAAAGAAUUAAUCUAUUUGUUUUGUCUUUAGUCAAGUUAUGAAACUAGCGAAUUAUUUACAUUAAGUGGAUUUGUUGUUGCUGUCGUUGCUGAAACUAGUGAAAGAAUCGAGUUUUGUGCUAUGAGUCAUGGGAGCAAAACGUGAGUAUUUAGAAGUGGAGAGGACCACGAAGAAGGAAGCCCUGGUGACUUGAAGAAAUCAUGGAGAGUUCUCCGGAUUCCCACAAACCUAUGGGGUUUAGAUUCCAGCUAAUACUUACACGGGUCUCAGAAGGACAGAGGGCAAGGGUUAACAUCUGGCUGAUAUUAAAGUCUCUGCACCUCUUAAUAUUUUACUUUGGCCUAGUUUUCUUUUCUUCGCUUUUACAUUUCCUGAUAUAAUGAGUAAUUCUCUUUUGAGUAUUAACUUGUACCAUGAACUAUGCUAAAUAUUUUUACCCCUAAAUGAUGAAGAAUUUUUAUCAUUUUUUGCUGAAAUAAAUGAGCAAAUGAAAGAUUGUUUACCUGGGAUUAUAGUAAAUGGUAGAACCACAUUUUAAAUUCAGCUGGGUCUCACACACAUUACAGACAUUCAAACAAUGU